GGGAGUCCCUCCCUCUAAAAGCACUCUGUGUGGGGAACAUGAGAGCCAGACCAAAGCUCAGAGGAACCCACCUGGACCUCCACCCAGCUCUGUGUCCUUACAGAGUGACGUGCCUAAAGAUUCUGUCGUUCCCUUUAAAUCAGGCGUGUGUCGUCCUGCAGAGAGGGAUGAAACUACCAAGAUGACCAGUGCCAGGUGCUAGCCUGGGAAAUUAAGUGGGUGUCUCCCUUGCUGGGCAGCAGCCCGGGUGAGACAAAAGACUGUUGUAACUGAAAAGAUACAGAGUUUGUGUGUGAGUGAGCGUAUAAAAGAGUUAGAGCGCUCAUGUCUGUAAACUUGUGAAGUUUUAUGUGUGUGUUGCUCUACUGCAGGGGUGUCAAACUCCAGGC